rnacentral:lncRNA from 1 species
AACUCGUAAUAGAGAAAUUAUUUCAAAUGAACCUAUCAAAUGUAUAAAUUUCCUGUUUUGUUCCAAGGUAUUCGGAAUCUUUCACUCCCAAAUUGUAGUUACACAGUGGAGUUAAUUUGGAUUGUCCGACCCGGGCUUAAUUCCAUGCCAAAUAACAGCAAUUACACCAAAGAUCCCCAAUUUAGUAAUUUUCUGUACUAAUUUACUAUUUUAAUGAGCCACUGGCAGCAGCCGAGAGCAGAACAGACAUGGAGAGAGAGCAACGAACUGUAAACUUAUGGCCUAAGAGCAGAGCAGUUUCGGAUUCGAGUUGACAAAAAGUAAAACCCACUUACAAAUUUUCCCAGUCGUUUAUCAAACGGCAGCGGAGCAUAAAUCUUGUCUAAGCAAAUCGCAAUGACAGCCCACAAAUGUUCUGGCCCAGAGGUAAGCGGAACUAGGAAGCCAGGAGGAAGGGUCUUGGCUAAGAGUCAAAUCCAGGCCGUAACCAAAAUGCUUCGCGACACGCAAUUGUCUCUGGCGCUGUAGAUGGAGACGGGCAGGAAGGCACUCUCUGCCGGGCAUUAAAUUUUAUGGCAUUUGGCUGUUGGACAUUAAAAACAAGAGACAACAAAUGUCGCACAAGCCGAGAGGACAAAGGACAAUGAGCCAGGUUAAUGUUGCUCUUGCUGUUGUGGGUCAGUGUUUGCGGCAUAUGGCACGUGGCAGGUUGGCAGCUUGGCAGCUUGGCAGCUUGGCGGCACGACAUCCUGAAAUCCUGGCAUUCUCGCACGUUGUCAACUCUAGGCAACCAGUGGCUGGCAUUUGAUUUAUGCGGUUCAGAGAGAUGAAAAAUUGACGAAUUUAUUCGCAGCUCUAUCAGAGCUCUCUAUCACUGCAUUAGAAUGCCUAUUCAGAGGGCAAUGCCGAGAGUAAAGUGUACCGGACUUGAUUUGAUUUGAUUCUUAUCCACUGGCUUGCACCUGAACCAUGUUUACUUGAUUAAAAUUGCUGCAACAAACCGAGAGAGCAUCCUUUCAGGCUUA